rnacentral:tRNA from 1 species
AGUCCUGUAGGCGAAUAGUUUAAGCCGUCAGCCUACGGCAGUCGCUACAACGGAGGGAACCUCCGCAACGUGCUGCCUCCUCAAGCUGAAGAUUGCGAGUGCGAAUCUCGUCGGGACUCCCA